rnacentral:rRNA from 1 species
UACGUAGGGGGCAAGCGUUGUCCGGAAUCAUUGGGCGUAAAGAGCGUGUAGGCGGCUUGGUAAGUCCGCUGUGAAAGUCCAGGGCUCAACCCUGGAAUGCCAGUGGAUACUGUCAAGCUAGAGUCCGGAAGAGGCGAGUGGAAUUCCUGGUGUAGCGGUGAAAUGCGCAGAUAUCAGGAGGAACACCAAUGGCGAAGGCAGCUCGCUGGGACGGUACUGACGCUGAGACGCGAAGCGUGGGAGCAACAGG